rnacentral:piRNA from 1 species
UAGGACUAAGCACAGAGGAGAUGGUUUCCGUC